AGUUAUACAUAUGAGCCGCAGAGGCAGCAGCAGCAGCAACCACAACGAAAACAAACUGACAUCGUUUCAGAAAUGAGACGUGCCUUUCCUUACUACAAGAGGUUUGCAGGCACAGUGAAAUCAACCCCCAAACGCCGACCAAAAUCAUCAUGCAGACAAAUGCAUUUUAAGCUUUGCUGCUUAGCAACUAAUGAGGAAUUUAGCCCAGACAAGGAAGAGGAAUGUCUUCUUGCCAAAGCUGGUUUGGGAACUCCUGCAGUGUGAGGCAUGCACAGAGAAGUGUGCACUGUGUGCACUUGAUGUGUCGGUGGUACAUAUGACGGAGCGCUAUGAUGCCAUGCAUUCGAAAGGCCAAGAAACG
rnacentral:misc_RNA from 1 species